UGUGCCUCGGGGGCGGCCUCCCCACCUCACCCCCCCAUUAUCCUACUCGGGGAAGGAGCAGAGGGCUGCGGACCAAUGCAGGGAGGGGCUGGCGAGGGGAGGCGCUUGCAGGGCUCCCCCACUUCUGCGCCGAGAGCCCCGGCGAGGCACAAAGAGCCUUCUGCACUGGCACCGCAGGACCGCGCCCAAAGCUCAAAGCCUCUCCCUGCUUAUCCAUGUGGUUCCAGACAUUGUGACCCCAAAAGCAUAGAAGAAAUCACCCAGGUG